ensembl:lncRNA
GAUCAGCUAGGGUGAUGGUGCUUCAGGGUCAGAGUUGUGAAGCAUACCAGGUGAGCACUGCAGCCUUGACUCUGGCUGGCACAGCAGGGCAGUGAGUGUCUUGGUGCACAACUCAUACAGUUGUAGGCUUACAAAAUGGUAUCCACGUUACAGCACCGGGCUUCAGCCUCAGGCUGACCUAUGGGGCUGGAGAGGGAAAGCUGGUUUACCACUGCAGCUGUGGGAAGGGCUUUCUCUUCACAAACAGCAGCUGUAGUGAAUAACCACGAACAGCUGCUCCUCCACUGGGAAUUCCCUUUCUUUUUGUCUUUUCCUCCAUUUGCAUCUCCUCCCAUCCAUUUCUUGCACAUAUUCCUGGGCCCCGCACAGCUUGGGAUGUUUGUUGGAGGCAACAGUAGGUAACCCAAACCAGACCCACAGCAGAGCACAGGACUAAGACACAGCCUCCAUCCCUCCCAUGGGCUCUUGGACUUUCUUUCAGCUAAGUGUGGUUGCCAGCUCACUCACCUCUUGGACUCCACUGCCUGAAUUGUCUUUUGACCCAGAGCCUUAGUGGUACUCACAGGCUCCUUGGGCCUGCUUGCCAAUAGGUCUCAGUCUCACAGUGUUGUCAAGACCCAAAGUAAAACGUGGGGAGUAUUUCUGAUUGCUAAGAAUGGGUAGACCUGAGCAGUGCCAUUCCCCUGCCCUAGAUUCACAACCCCUUUCAAAGACAUUACUGAUUUUAUUGGCUUCAUCCAAAGCAGUAAAUUCUGCAGACUCCAUGUUUCUGCCAUACGGAUCCAUAGGCAGUGAUCAGCUGUACAUCAUGUUCAUGAUCUCACAUUUUAUUGCAGUGUGUCCCUGCAGUCUGAACACAGUUGUCACUGUUAGAGACAAAGAGAUUUCUGCUAGGCAGUGGAAAAGAUGCUAUGAAAAUACGGAUGUAACAGUUCGAAUCCUGGGAACUCAUGGAUGCUUCCAGAUGUACAGCGGCCCAAGAAAGUGAAAUCAAGAAGUGAAAGCAAGAAAACUGCAGCCACAAAUUUCCACUGCCCUUCAGAAAUCCUCCCACCCACAACUCUCAAGCAAUCCUUUCUGCAGUGUCUGCAGAGCUAACAGCUGACAUGAGCUCCACAAGC